GACGAACGCUGGCGGCGUGCCUAAUACAUGCCAGUCGAGCGGACUUUCAAGAAGCUUGCUUUUUGAAAGUUAGCGGCGGACGGGUGAGUAACACGUGGGCAACCUGCCUGCAAGACGGGGAUAACUCCGGGAAACCGGGGCUAAUACCGGAUAAUAUCUUCCUUCGCAUGAAGGAAGGUUGAAAGUCGGCGCAAGCUGCCGCUUGCAGAUGGUCCCGCGGCGCAUUAGCUAGUUGGUGUGGUAACGGCUCACCAAGGCGACGAUGCGUAGCCGACCGGAGGGGGUGAUCGGCCACACUGGGACGGAGACACGGCCCAGACGGCUACGGGAGGCAGCAGUAGGGAAUCUUCCGCAAUGGGCGAAAGUCUGACGGAGCAACGCCGCGUGAGCGAAGAAGGUCUUCGGAUCGUAAAGCUCUGUUGUCAGGGAAGAACAAGUACCGUUCGAACAGGGCGGUACCUUGACGGUACCUGACCAGAAAGCCACGGCUAACUACGUG
rnacentral:rRNA from 1 species